rnacentral:rRNA from 1 species
GAUGAACGCUAGCGGCAGGCCUAACACAUGCAAGUCGAGGGGUAGAAGUUUUCGGACUUUGAGACCGGCGCACGGGUGCGUAACGCGUAUGCAAUCUGCCUUGUACUGAGGGAUAGCCCAGAGAAAUUUGGAUUAAUACCUCAUAGUAUUUUUUGUUGGCAUCAACAGAUUAUUAAAGAGAUUCGGUACAAGAUGAGCAUGCGUCCCAUUAGCUAGUUGGUAUGGUAACGGCAUACCAAGGCUACGAUGGGUAGGGGUCCUGAGAGGGAGCUCCCCCACACUGGUACUGAGACACGGACCAGACUCCUACGGGAGGCAGCAGUGAGGAAUAUUGGUCAAUGGUCGCAAGACUGAACCAGCCAUGCCGCGUGCAGGAUGAAGCAUCUAUGGUGUGUAAACUGCUUUUGUACGGGAAGAAACCCUCCUACGUGUAGGAGCUUGACGGUACCGUAAGAAUAAGGAUCGGCUAACUCCGUGCCAGCCGCCGCAGUAACAC